AGCGAACAUUGGCGGUAGGCUUAACACAUGCAAGUCGAGCGAGGCGUAAUAGUCGAGCGGCGAACGGGUGCGUAAUACAUGGGAAUCUACCUCGAAGUGGGGGAUAACGUCCAGAAAUGGACGCUAAUACCGCAUAAUCCAUAUCGGGAAAGCGUUGCAGCGCUUUGAGAUGAGCCCAUGGCUGAUUAGCUUGUUGGUGAGGUAACGGCUCACCAAGGCGACGAUCAGUAGCUGGUCUGAGAGGAUGACCAGCCACACUGGAACUGAGACACGGUCCAGACUCCUACGGGAGGCAGCAGUGGGGAAUCUUGCGAAAUGGGGGAACCCCUGACGCAGCCAUACCGCGUGAGUGAUGAAGGUCUUCGGAUUGUAAAGCUCUUUCGGCAGGGACGACGAUGACGGUACCUGAAAAAGAAGUCACGGCUAACUUCGUGCCAGCCGCCGCGGUAA
rnacentral:rRNA from 1 species